rnacentral:rRNA from 1 species
CCUACGGGAGGCAGCAGUGGGGAAUAUUGCACAAUGGGGGCAACCCUGAUGCAGCGACGCCGCGUGAGUGAAGAAGGCAUUCGGUAUGUAAAGCUCUAUCAGCAGGGACGAAAAUAACUGUACAUGAGUAAGAAGCCCCGGCUAAAUACGUGCCAGCAGCCGCGGUAAUACGUAGGGGGCAAACGUUAUACGGAUUUUAUGGGUGUAAAGGGGGCGUAGACGGCAGAGCAAGUCUGGAGUGAAAGGCGGGGGCUCAACCCCCGGACUGCUCUGGAAACUGUACGGCUGGAGUGCAGGAGAGGUAAGUGGAAUUCCUAGUGUAGCGGUGAAAGGCGUAGAUAUUAGGAGGAACACCAGUGGCGAAGGCGGCUUACUGGACUGUAACUGACGUUGAGGCGCGAAAGCGUGGGGAGCAAACAGGAUUAGAUACCCGAGUAGUC